UGACGGUAUCCAACCAGAAAGUCACGGCUAACUACGUGCCAGCAGCCGCGGUAAUACGUAGGUGGCAAGCGUUAUUCGGAUUUGUUGGGCGUAAAGCGAGCGCAGGCGGUUGCUUAGGUCUGAUGUGAAAGCCUUCGGCUUAACCGAAGAAGGGCAUCGGAAACCGGGCGACUUGAGUGCAGAAGAGGACAGUGGAACUCCAUGUGUAGCGGUGGAAUGCGUAGAUAUAUGGAAGAACACCGGUGGCGAAGGCGGCUGUCUGGUCUGCAACUGACACUGAGGCUCGAAAGCAUGGGUAGCGAACAGGAUUAGAUACCCUGGUAGUCCAUGCCGUAAACGAUGAGUGCUAGUGUUGGAGGUUUCCGCCCUUC
rnacentral:rRNA from 2 species